CCCUCCUCGUAGGUGCUCCUGUGAGGAGGCGGCUGAAAGCGACGCUGCCCCCAGGAAAGCGUCAAUGGCGUGAGGGAGCCCCAGCACUCCCAGCUCUGCUCCGAAGGAGCGAUUUGUGUAGGUACAGGAACAGUUCCCAGCGCAGCCCAAGCCGCAGGUGAGGAGCCCCACAGCAGUGAUAUGAAAUACCCAGGGGUCAGGACACUGAAGUGACAAUGUGGUUGCUGCAAAAAAGAACUGUUUUCAAUGUCUGUGGGAACAGGACAAACAGCAAUGGAUUCAAGUAGCAGCAAAGAAAACUCUUUUUCUUCAGACAUGAGCAGGAGGAAGAAAGUUUUGCCGGAGGAGAAAAAUGCUCUACUUACACAGUAGCUGGUACUGACCAACACAAGAAAGACUAUAUGUUGUAUCCUGGCAUUUCAGCAAUGAAUGAUAAAUUCUGUCAUCCACAUUACAAGGAGGUGUUGGAAAGACGGUGCGUACAAGCAGGCAUGUCCAGGAGAGUGCCAGCAGGGCUGCAGAUCCACUGCUCUUACUGU